GUGGAUCUGUGCACACGAAGGGCACCAGUUGUUAGUGAUCAUAAAAACAUGUGCCUUAACCCUUCAUACAUACAUUUAACCGGUAGCCAGUUGUUUUUUGUAUUGCUGUUUGCCUAAUCACAUUUCGCUAUUCUUUAGCUACGCAUUUCUCGCAAAAAAUAGUGGCCAGAAACUGAACUCACAAUUGUCGCUCGGUGAGGUUGUCUCCACGAGUGCCCGCAAGGCAGGUUUCUUCUGGGAAUCAGGAAGCGACGGAGGCUACCUGCAAAUGCUAACGCUGGCGAGAUUUGUUUUGCAACGGUUGUUCAUCUGACAGUGCUGACCUAGCAGUGGUUAUGGAUGCAUUCGGGUCCUGAUUGAACUCACACGUCAUGGCAACGGAAGAUGCAGUCUCACCCGUGGUCGUCCUGUGAUCCCCGACCACACUCAGGGGGACUAUCACUUUGUCCGCUCCUUCGUAGCUGGAGGUAAGGGUGGAGGUAAGGGUGGACGUAAGGCUGGAGGUAAGGCUGGAGGUAAGGGCGGAGGUAAGGGCGGAGGUAAGGCUGGAGGUAAGGCUGGAGGUAAGGCUGGAGGUAAGGCUGGAGGUAAGGGCGGAGGUAAGGGCGGCUGCAGACUUCACUAGUGAUGCUAAUACAGAAAUACAAUACAGAACAUACAGUAGUACACAUCCAGUGACACAAGCCCUGGUUCUGAUGAGCUGCAUAGUGUGCAGGCAAUUCAUCUGGCAAUAAGACUACUAUCAUCUAAAUUAAAACUCACCAGAGAUCCAGAAGAAAUGGGUAUAUGUCUACAGAGUUCUGACAACUUAAACACCUAGACCUUGGCAGAGCGAUAUAGGCAUAAUGAGUUUGUGAGUAGGUUUCACAGACCCAGAUUAAGCUGACUUGUCUUGGACCUGGAUUAAAAAGCAUGCUCAAUGGCGAUUCUUUUUAGUCCAGGACUAAGCUUAAAGCUGAAAUCCGCACCACUGUUCAGUCAGCAUCAGGUGAAACAGCACUGUUCACCCCCAGCGCAUUUGUUGUUGUUUUUGUUUUGUUGAUGAAACAGGGGAGAGGAGCAUCCAGAAUUCUGGGAAAACAAAAUGGCGUGCAAUGAUGUCCGAGGGAAAGAAACGGUGUUGGUUGUUUGUUGCAUAAACGGCUGGAUACCAGCUUUAAUGCAGGUUAGGGAAACUGGCACAGAAUGUGCAGGUUAUUAUUUAUAUACAAAUAUAGAUACAGUGCCUGGAGUAGAGGUCGACCGAUCAUGAUUUUUCAAUGCCGAUAACGAUUAUUGGAGGACCAAAAAAGCCGAUACCGAUUAAUCAGCAGAUUUUAACAUUUUUUAAAAAUGUAUUUAAUUUAAUUUGUAAUAAUGACAAUUAUAACAAUACUGAAUGAACACUUAUUUUAACUUAAUAUAAAACAUCAAUAAAAUCAAGUUAGCCUCAAAUAAAUAAUGAAACAUGUUCAAUUUGGUUUAAAUAAUGCCAAAACAAAGUGUUGGAGAAGAAAGUAAAAGUGCAAUAUGUGCCAUGUAAAAAAGUUAACGUUUAAGUUCCUUGCUCAGAACAUGGGAACAUAUGAAAGUUGGUGGUUCCUUUUUACAUGAGACUUUAAAAUGAGUAUUUAUAGGACUAUUUCUCUCUAUACCAUUUUGUAUUUCAUAUACCUUUGACUAUUGGAUGUUCUUAUAGGCACUAUAGUAUUGCCAGUGUAACAGUAUAGCUUCCGUCCCCCUCCUCGCCCCUACCUGGGCUCGAACCAGGAACACAUCGACAACAGCCACUGCUCCAAAAAAGCAGUGGCCCUUGCAGCGCAAGGGGAAUAACUACUCCAAAUCUAAAAGCGAGUGACGUUUGAAACAGUAGCGCACACCCAGCUAACUAGCUAGCCAUUUCACAUUGGUUACACCAGCCAUAAGGCUGAUGGGCUUGAAGUCAUAAACAGCGCUGUGCUUGCGAAAAGCUGCUGGCAAAACGCACGAAAGUGCUGUUUGAAUGAAUGAUUACAGGCCUGCUGCUGCUCAGUCAGACUGCUCUAUCAAGUCAGACUUAAUUAUAACAUAAUAACACAGAAAUAUGAGCCUUUGGUCAUUAAUAUGAUCGAAUCCGGAAACUAUCAUUCCAAAAACAAAACGUUUAUUAUUUCAGCGAAAUACAGAACCGUUCUGUAUUUUAUCUAACAGCUGGCAUCUAUAAGUCUAAAUAUUCUUGUUACAUUGCACAACCUUCAAUUCUGUCAUAAUUCUGGCAAAUUAGUUCGCAAUGAGCCAGACAGACCAAACUGUUGCAUAUACCCUGACUAAAUCAAAUCAAAUUUAUUUAUAUAGCCCUUCGUACAUCAGCUGAUAUCUCAAAGUGCUGUACAGAAACCCAGCCUAAAACCCCAAACAGCAAGCAAUGCAGGUGUAGAAGCACGUGCAAUGCAGGUGUAGAAGCACGUGCAAUGAACGCAAGAGAAAUGACACAAUUUCACCUGGUUGAUAUUGCCUGCUAAACUGGAUUAGUAGUUAUAACUAGUGAUUAUGAUUGAUUGUUUUUUAUAAGAUAAGUUUAAUGCUAGCUAGCAAUUUACCUUGGCUUCUACUGGAUUACGCGUAACAGGCAGGCUACUCGUGGAGUGGUUAGAGCGGUUGCAAGAUUGAAACCCCUGAGCUAACAAUAUGAAAAUCUGUCCUUCUGCCCCUGAACAAGGCAGUUAACCCACAGUUCCUAGGCAGUCAUUGAAAAUAAGAAUGUGUUCUUAACUCACUUGCCUAGUUAAAUAAAAGGUCUGUUGUCUAUACAGUAUAUAUGGUGCCUGUAGAAGUCACAUGACGGUGUCAAGGUCUGUUGUAGAUACGGUGCCUGGAGAAGUCACAUGACGGUGUCAAGGUCUGUUGUCUAUACAGUAGAUACGGUGCCUGUAGAAGUCACAUGACGGUAGUCAAGGUCUGUUGUCUAUACAGUAGAUACGGUGCCUGUAGAAGUCACAUGACGGUGGUCAAGGUCUGUUGUCUAUACAGUAGAUACGGUGCCUGUAGAAGUCACAUGACGGUAGUCAAGGUCUGUUGUCUAUACAGUAGAUACGGUGCCUGUAGAAGUCACAUGACGGUAGUCAAGGUCUGUUGUCUAUACAGUAGAUACGGUGCCUGGAGAAGUCACAUGACGGUGUCAAGGUCUGUUGUCUAUACAGUAGAUACGGUGCCUGUAGAAGUCACAUGACGGUAGUCAAGGUCUGUUGUCUAUACAGUAGAUACGGUGCCUGGAGAAGUCACAUGACGGUGUCAAGGUCUGUUGUCUAUACAGUAGAUACGGUGCCUGUAGAAGUCACAUGACGGUAGUCAAGGUCUGUUGUCUAUACAGUAGAUACGGUGCCUGUAGAAGUCACAUGACGGUAGUCAAGGUCUGUUGUCUAUACAGUAGAUACGGUGCCUGUAGAAGUCACAUGACGGUGUCAAGGUCUGUUGUCUAUACAGUAGAUACGGUGCCUGUAGAAGUCACAUGACGGUGUCAAGGUCUGUUGUCUAUACAGUAGAUACGGUGCCUGUAGAAGUCGCAUGACGGUAGUCAAGGUCUGUUGUCUAUACAGUAGAUACGGUGCCUGGAGAAGUCACAUGACGGUAGUCAAGGUCUGUUGCUAUAACAGGUUGUGUGUAUCAUCAUCCAUCUGCCAGUUAUAUUGAGGCUAUUACUCUGUUCUCUGUAACUAAGAUUGUCUUAUUAGUCAGAUGGUGAACAUGGAAAGAAACCCCAUGACCUGUCCAAAGUGAUGUAAUAUGCAUUUAUCCAAACUAACGUGUUUAUGGUCUGGGUUCAUCCAACAGAUAAUUCUUCAGAUUAAUGUAAUGGUCAUUUUACUUAGUCUAGCCCAGAUAUGCUCAUGUUGAGGGUGUCUGUAUCUGUCUGGGUGUGUUUAGGUGUAGCAGGAUGAAGUGCCAAAUACACCCUCGCUCCUCUGGACAGAGUGAAGAUCUUACUGCAAGCCAACAGUCCCCACGACAAAGACCUGGGUAAGAACUGGAUAACUCUGCUGCGGUGGAAGUGUUACUGAACAUGUAAACAUGUGUGUCUUUUGUCAGUUGGUUUGUCAGUGUCACUCAUGUAUCACCCCUCCCAUGGACAUCUGACACGGGUUUUCCUUCUUCUACCACCUGGUUGCAGCGAAAACUAAACUAUGACAUCUUGCUUAUUUCUCUCCUUCACUCUCUCCUCGAGGUGUGGUAGCUACUCUCCGUGUCGUGCCAAGAAAGGAGGGUUACCUGGGGCUCUAUGAAGGCAAUGGGGCCAUGAUGGUCAGGAUACUCUCCUACGGAGCUAUCCAGUUCAUGGCCUUUGACAAAUACAGGAAGAUCCUCAGUAAACAGCUGGGCGUCUCUGGACACAUCCACAGGCCCGUGGUCGGUGCUAUGGCAGGUGAGAGAAGAUCCUCAGUAAACAGCUGGGCGUCUCUGGACACAUCCACAGGCCCGUAGUCGGUGCUAUGGCAGGUGAGAGAAGAUCCUCAGUAAACAGCUGGGCGUCUCUGGACACAUCCACAGGCCCGUGGUCGGUGCUAUGGCAGGUGAGAGAAGAUCCUCAGUAAACAGCUGGGCGUCUCUGGACACAUCCACAGGCCCGUAGUCGGUGCUAUGGCAGGUGAGAGAAGAUCCUCAGUAAACAGCUGGGCGUCUCUGGACACAUCCACAGGCCCGUAGUCGGUGCUAUGGCAGGUGAGAGAAGAUCCUCAGUAAACAGCUGGGCGUCUCUGGACACAUCCACAGGCCCGUGGUCGGUGCUAUGGCAGGUGAGAGAAGAUCCUCAGUAAACAGCUGGGCGUCUCUGGACACAUCCACAGGCCCGUGGUCGGUGCUAUGGCAGGUGAGAGAAGAUCCUCAGUAAACAGCUGGGCGUCUCUGGACACAUCCACAGGCCCGUGGUCGGUGCUAUGGCAGGUGAGAGAAGAUCCUCAGUAAACAGCUGGGCGUCUCUGGACACAUCCACAGGCCCGUAGUCGGUGCUAUGGCAGGUGAGAGAAGAUCCUCAGUAAACAGCUGGGCGUCUCUGGACACAUCCACAGGCCCGUGGUCGGUGCUAUGGCAGGUGAGAGAAGAUCCUCAGUAAACAGCUGGGCGUCUCUGGACACAUCCACAGGCCCGUGGUCGGUGCUAUGGCAGGUGAGAGAAGAUCCUCAGUAAACAGCUGGGCGUCUCUGGACACAUCCACAGGCCCGUAGUCGGUGCUAUGGCAGGUGAGAGAAGAUCCUCAGUAAACAGCUGGGCGUCUCUGGACACAUCCACAGGCCCGUGGUCGGUGCUAUGGCAGGUGAGAGAAGAUCCUCAGUAAACAGCUGGGCGUCUCUGGACACAUCCACAGGCCCGUAGUCGGUGCUAUGGCAGGUGAGAGAAGAUCCUCAGUAAACAGCUGGGCGUCUCUGGACACAUCCACAGGCCCGUGGUCGGUGCUAUGGCAGGUGAGAGAAGAUCCUCAGUAAACAGCUGGGCGUCUCUGGACACAUCCACAGGCCCGUGGUCGGUGCUAUGGCAGGUGAGAGAAGAUCCUCAGUAAACAGCUGGGCGUCUCUGGACACAUCCACAGGCCCGUGGUCGGUGCUAUGGCAGGUGAGAGAAGAUCCUCAGUAAACAGCUGGGCGUCUCUGGACACAUCCACAGGCCCGUGGUCGGUGCUAUGGCAGGUGAGAGAAGAUCCUCAGUAAACAGCUGGGCGUCUCUGGACACAUCCACAGGCCCGUGGUCGGUGCUAUGGCAGGUGAGAGAAGAUCCUCAGUAAACAGCUGGGCGUCUCUGGACACAUCCACAGGCCCGUAGUCGGUGCUAUGGCAGGUGAGAGAAGAUCCUCAGUAAACAGCUGGGCGUCUCUGGACACAUCCACAGGCCCGUGGUCGGUGCUAUGGCAGGUGAGAGAAGAUCCUCAGUAAACAGCUGGGCGUCUCUGGACACAUCCACAGGCCCGUAGUCGGUGCUAUGGCAGGUGAGAGAAGAUCCUCAGUAAACAGCUGGGCGUCUCUGGACACAUCCACAGGCCCGUGGUCGGUGCUAUGGCAGGUGAGAGAAGAUCCUCAGUAAACAGCUGGGCGUCUCUGGACACAUCCACAGGCCCGUGGUCGGUGCUAUGGCAGGUGAGAGAAGAUCCUCAGUAAACAGCUGGGCGUCUCUGGACACAUCCACAGGCCCGUGGUCGGUGCUAUGGCAGGUGAGAGAAGAUCCUCAGUAAACAGCUGGGCGUCUCUGGACACAUCCACAGGCCCGUGGUCGGUGCUAUGGCAGGUGAGAGAAGAUCCUCAGUAAACAGCUGGGCGUCUCUGGACACAUCCACAGGCCCGUGGUCGGUGCUAUGGCAGGUGAGAGAAGAUCCUCAGUAAACAGCUGGGCGUCUCUGGACACAUCCACAGGCCCGUAGUCGGUGCUAUGGCAGGUGAGAGAAGAUCCUCAGUAAACAGCUGGGCGUCUCUGGACACAUCCACAGGCCCGUGGUCGGUGCUAUGGCAGGUGAGAGAAGAUCCUCAGUAAACAGCUGGGCGUCUCUGGACACAUCCACAGGCCCGUAGUCGGUGCUAUGGCAGGUGAGAGAAGAUCCUCAGUAAACAGCUGGGCGUCUCUGGACACAUCCACAGGCCCGUGGUCGGUGCUAUGGCAGGUGAGAGAAGAUCCUCAGUAAACAGCUGGGCGUCUCUGGACACAUCCACAGGCCCGUGGUCGGUGCUAUGGCAGGUGAGAGAAGAUCCUCAGUAAACAGCUGGGCGUCUCUGGACACAUCCACAGGCCCGUGGUCGGUGCUAUGGCAGGUGAGAGAAGAUCCUCAGUAAACAGCUGGGCGUCUCUGGACACAUCCACAGGCCCGUGGUCGGUGCUAUGGCAGGUGAGAGAAGAUCCUCAGUAAACAGCUGGGCGUCUCUGGACACAUCCACAGGCCCGUGGUCGGUGCUAUGGCAGGUGAGAGAAGAUCCUCAGUAAACAGCUGGGCGUCUCUGGACACAUCCACAGGCCCGUGGUCGGUGCUAUGGCAGGUGAGAGAAGAUCCGUGGUGAAAAGGGCCUCUUUCAUGGAAGGGAGGGAGAAUCCAGAAAAGACAAAUGGAGGCUUGUAUAAUGCAGAGAAGAUACUUCCUUACUCCUGAUUAUUUUUCCACAACAAUAGUUUCAACAAAACACCAACAGUUGUUGGUUAGUAUAUUUCAUCUUACCAUGUUAUUGUUGCUCAGGGAUGACAGCAGUGAUAUGUACGUACCCUCUUGAUGUGAUCAGAGCCUGUCUGGCUUACCAGAUGAAAGGACAUCAUCGCUACACGGGCAUCAGAAAUGCCUUCCAGACCAUAUACCUAAAGCUAUGCUAUUUUAUUUGUUCUGACCUAUCCCUUUAUUUGUCUUUCAGUUUCACAUUCAACCUGUUACCUGUGUUUGUGUUUCUCAUUAACUGAUUCUCAGUGGUGGUGUUUAUUUUUAAUUUUUAAAGGAAGGAGGCAUCCCUGGCUUCUACAAGGGACUGAUCCCAACUCUUAUAGGCAUGACUCCAUAUGUAGGUGAACACACACACACACACACACACACACACACACACACACACACACACACACACACACACACACACACACACACACACACACACACACACACACACACACACACACACACACACACGCGGUAUUGUGACCCUCCCUCCAGGGUUCUUGUUCAUUACCUUCAGCACGUUGAGGACUUCCCAGAGAUACUGGGACGACCGUCCUCAGACAACCCAGAGGUGCUGGUGCUGUAGACCCACGUUAACCUGCUCUGUGGAAGGGGUGGCCGGAGCUGUCCACAGACCAUAUAUCUCCUCUCCCUGUUCCCCCUUCUCCGUCUCCUCUCCUUGUUCCCCCCUUCUCCAUCUCCUCUCCUUGUUCCCCCCUUCUCCGUCUCCUCUCCUUGUUCCCCCCUCCUCCGUCUCCUCUCCCUGUUCCCCCCUUCUCAGUCUCCUCUCCUUGUUCCCCCCUCCUUCCUCUCCUUGUUCCCCCCUUCUCCGUCUCCUCUCCCUGUUCCCCCCUUCUCAGUCUCCUCUCCUUGUUCCCCCCUUCUCAGUCUCCUCUCCUUGUUCCCCCCUUCUCCGUCUCCUCUCCUUGUUCCCCCCUUCUCCGUCUCCUCUCCCUGUU